GCCUUUGGUCUGACCCAGGCGAUAGAGCAUGAGACUCUUAAUCUCAGGUUCAUGGGUUUGAGCCCCACAUUGGGCA